AAUUCUCGCCCGGCCUUUCUCCAGGACUAACGGCCUGAAAAGCCAUUGUUAUAGACAUUUAACUACGAGAAC
rnacentral:tRNA from 1 species